UACGUAGGGGGCAAGCGUUGUCCGGAUUUAUUGGGCGUAAAGAGCGUGUAGGCGGCCAAGCAGGUCCGCUGUGAAAACUCGAGGCUCAACCUCGAGAGGUCGGUGGAAACCGUUUGGCUAGAGUCCGGAAGAGGAGAGUGGAAUUCCCGGUGUAGCGGUGAAAUGCGCAGAUAUCGGGAAGAACACCCGUGGCGAAGGCGGCUCUCUGGGACGGUACUGACGCUGAGACGGCGAAAAGCGUGGGGGAGCGAAAC
rnacentral:rRNA from 1 species